rnacentral:tRNA from 1 species
GGGCGAGUGGUGAAACGGAAGACACGCUAUCUUCAGAAGGUAGUUCCCGCAAGGGAGUGGAGGUUCGAUUCCUCUCUCGCCCA